CUGUAAGCCUGUGAAGGUGUACUGUGAGGUAUGCUGGAGGUAUCAGAAGUGCGAAUGCUGACAUAAGUAACGAUAAAGCGGGUGAAAAGCCCGCUCGCCGGAAGACCAAGGGUUCCUGUCCAACGUUAAUCGGGGCAGGGUGAGUCGACCCCUAAGGCGAGGCCGAAAGGCGUAGUCGAUGGGAAACAGGUUAAUAUUCCUGUACUUGGUGUUACUGCGAAGGGGGGACGGAGAAGGCUAUGUUGGCCGGGCGACGGUUGUCCCGGUUUAAGCGUGUAGGCUGGUUUUCCAGGCAAAUCCGGAAAAUCAAGGCUGAGGCGUGAUGACGAGGCACUACGGUGCUGAAGCAACAAAUGCCCUGCUUCCAGGAAAAGCCUCUAAGCAUCAGGUAACAUCAAAUCGUACCCCAAACCGACACAGGUGGUCAGGUAGAGAAUACCAAGGCGCUUGAGAGAACUCGGGUGAAGGAACUAGGCAAAAUGGUGCCGUAACUUCGGGAGAAGG
rnacentral:rRNA from 1 species